AUUGAACGCUGGCGGCAUGCUUUACACAUGCAAGUCGAACGGUAACAGGCCUUCGGGUGCUGACGAGUGGCGAACGGGUGAGUAAUGCAUCGGAACGUACCCAGAGGUGGGGGAUAACGCAGCGAAAGCUGUGCUAAUACCGCAUGUGAUCUGAGGAUGAAAGCGGGGGACCGAGCAGCAAUGUUUGGCCUCGCGCCUUUGGAGCGGCCGAUGUCGGAUUAGCUAGUUGGUGGGGUAAAGGCCUACCAAGGCGACGAUCCGUAGCUGGUCUGAGAGGACGACCAGCCACACUGGGACUGAGACACGGCCCAGCCUCCUACGGGAGGCAGCAGUGGGGAAUUUUGGACAAUGGGCGCAAGCCUGAUCCAGCAAUGCCGCGUGCGGGAAGAAGGCCUUCGGGUUGUAAACCGCUUUUGGCAGGAACGAAACGGUGUCCGCUAAUACCGGGCGCUAAUGACGGUACCUGCAGAAUAAGCACCGGCUAACUACGUG
rnacentral:rRNA from 1 species